UACGAAGGGGGCUAGCGUUGCUCGGAAUCACUGGGCGUAAAGCGCACGUAGGCGGGUUGCUAAGUCAGGGGUGAAAUCCUGGAGCUCAACUCCAGAACUGCCUUUGAUACUGGCGACCUCGAGUCCGGGAGAGGUGAGUGGAACUGCGAGUGUAGAGGUGAAAUUCGUAGAUAUUCGCAAGAACACCAGUGGCGAAGGCGGCUCACUGGCCCGAUACUGACGCUGAGGCACGAAAGCGUGGGGAGCAAACAGG
rnacentral:rRNA from 1 species